rnacentral:ncRNA from 1 species
CUAAUGGCUGUGACGGAAAUAUGUAGGAGCCGCUCUAUAUGGCAAAGAGAGCCCGCGGUUGGUGCAAGCGGGAGCAUGGCGGUGCUGAAGAUACCUUCCUGAGCCGCUUUUCGGAACGCAAAAGUAGGGAAAGCCGCGCGGCGCGCGUUACAGCGCCAGGGUAUAAUAGCUUUCGAUACUACUGUAUCUCAAGCUGUCGUACCUGUCGAGACCGGGGCCGUGAGGCCGCGGUGAACUGAGGUGGUACCGCGACAAUGUUCGCCCUCUGU